rnacentral:lncRNA from 7 species
CUUGAGUGGACUCUCUUCAUGUUCUCCUCUGCAGAAUAACUUUGUGUGGUGCCUUCUCACAGUGAGGCCUGAGUUUGUCCUAACAUCUGGAAGAAGUGACAAGCUGCAGUCACCAAAGUUGAUAACCCGGAUUCAGAGGCUCUGAAACUUCCUCAAGUGCUCCUGAAGUCUCAGGGACAGCAAACGUAAAACAGAUGCUAAUGUCAAGAGGGUGGAGUUUGAUUGGGAAUUGUGAUGGUUAAAGAUGAGAAGAAGAAAAAAUAAAGCCCAGAGGAAGAGUUAAGGCUGAAUAACAGACAACUAGGUGUUGAAAUACAGAAGAGGAAGUGGAGUGUGAAUAUGAGCAACGGGGCUAUGUGAGAAAGGGAACAGCGAAGACCUGGAGAACACAGCAAAGGUUCAAGUAAUUGCAGAAUGUUAAAGGGAGCUGCAAUGGGAAGGAGGUAAAAGAAGAAGCAAAACCUGUGACCCCAUUUAUACCCCUUAAUUAUCACUGUGGCUUUCCAGCUGUGGAUUGUACAUGUCUCCUGCUCAAUUGACUUGCUGUCCCUUUCCCCAGACCACUUUACCUCUGUUUCUAUAGGGGAAGCUUUCUAGUUUAUCAGUUGUAUUUCUUUUAAUUGAAAAGUGACAUGGUUUUGGCAAACUCGUUUUCUGUCAGCGAGAAGCUGGUUAGUUCUUUGGUUGGUUCCACUUCCCUGGGAAUUAGCACUAAUUGAUUUCUUGUUCAGAAUCACAGCACUCCAGGGGCCUGUCUUUCUUGCUAAAACAAGUCUAAACCAAACUACAUUUGGAGGUGGUAUCCUUGCAUAGGCUGUUCAAUUCCUACGCUUUUCUCUUCAAUGUUUUUGCCCUUUUUUACAGUUCUUAUUGCACUUUUUGUUUGACAGUUCUCUUCCCAAAGGGCCAUUCUCUCCCACUCAUCUUAGCAGGGGAUUUGUUGCAUCCUUCUAUGGAGCUGGGCUCAGCUGGGAUUAAUAAAAGGGUCUUUUUAUUCUAUUCAGCCAAAUCAGCCAUAGCAAGAUUGUGAGAAAGCACAUUAUGGAUAAAAUUAUAUUCCCAGGAUUUUGUGUUGGACCUCACAAGAGCACCAUUUUGCUCAGGUCUGGAAGAAUGACGUGACGCAGAACAGUCAGAUUCUUCUGGAGAUUAAUCAUGUGCCUGGUGGCAAGGAGGUGGAGAAUUAUCUCAGAUAUUACUCAAAAAAAAAAAACAAAAAAACACAUGAUGUACACAAAGCUGUUCAGAGACGAUAUUAGCUAGACUCAUUAUUAAAAACUUUCUAGAAUUCAAAGUGUGAUGGCAGACAAAAUCCUAGCUUGAGAGGAUGGGAAGGAAAUGAAACACCCUUUGCUCGAAAAUGCCUACACAAAAAUGUUGCAGGAGAGCACCAUCUCUGGUUUACAGAAAUAUAAAAACAGAGGCCAGGAGAUCUGAUGGAGAUGGCGCUGAUCAGAUCGCUCAGCAGAGUGCAGCCAAGCAGCCACUGGUGGGGUCAGUGGGGUGGUUUCUUUGGGGAGAGGUUUCGCCUGUGUCUGCUGGGUGCUGUGCACCAAGGUUGCAAGGAGCCGUUGGGAAAGCGAAGGCGCAGGGCAAUGUGUGCUGCGGGGCUGGCUGUGGGAUUUGGCUGUGUGAGGUGAUGGGGAGCGUGGGUCUGCCUCUGUGCGAUUAGCGCUCCUUGUAACCAGGGGCACUUUGGAUGUACCUCGCUCUGUUUAUGUUUUUGGUUCUUAUAAUGAAAAUGAGAUCCCUCGUGUAGCCCACUGCCAUUUUGCAUGUCAAAGCGAAAGUAUAUAUGCUCGGUGUGGGUAUUAGUGUCUCAGCUUAAUGACAGAAGCUUCGGACAAAUAAAUCCAUGUGCCAUGGAGGAUUUUCCUAAUGAAACUGAAGUACAAUGCUGUUU